rnacentral:rRNA from 1 species
GGGAAUUGUUCGCAAUGGGCGCAAGCCUGACGACGCAACGCCGCGUGGAGGACGAAGACCUUCGGGUCGUAAACUCCUUUCGAUCGAGACGCACGGCCUCCGGGUGAACAAUCCGGAGGAGUGACGGUACCGAGAGAAGAAGCCCCGGCUAACUCCGUGCCAGCAGCCGCGGUAAUACGGAGGGGGCUAGCGUUAUUCGGAAUUACUGGGCGUAAAGGGCGCGUAGGCGGCCUGAUAGGUCAAAGGUGAAAUCCCUCGGCUCAACCGAGGAACUGCCUUUGAAACCAUCGGGCUCGAGGCCGGGAGGGGGUAGCGGAAUUCCUGGUGUAGCGGUGAAAUGCGUAGAUAUCAGGAGGAACACCGGUGGCGAAGGCGGCUACCUGGACCGGUUCUGACGCUGAGGCGCGAAAGCGUGGGGAGCAAA